rnacentral:rRNA from 1 species
UACGAGGGGGGGCGAGCGUUGUUCGGAAUUAUUGGGCGUAAAGGGUGCGUAGGCGGUUUGGUAAGUCUUAUGUGAAAUCUACAGGCUCAACUUGUAGUCUGCAUGAGAAACUGCCGGGCUUGAGUAUGGGAGAGGUGAGUGGAAUUCCUGGUGUAGCGGUGAAAUGCGUAGAUAUCAGGAGGAACACCUGUGGCGAAAGCGGCCUACUGGGCCGGACCUGACGCUGAGACG